GAGGGAUAAAGAGGAAAAAAUAGCUGUGCUCCUGCUUCUUUCGUUCUAAGAUAAAUUCUCCCGGAGACAACCUCUCCCACUAAUUGUGUGUUAGCCAUGAAUUUUAUCUCAAGAGCUGACGCACUGCGCUCUCAACUGGUGUUGAAAAGCAGCCUGUUACAGUGUGGGAUUCAUAAAAGGGCCUCUAUGGUGUGUGAGAAAGAAUAUCUGUGUGCCUAGGCAGGAAACUUUUUGAUCUACAGAAAAGCCAGAAGACAUCUAGCAUACCAGAAUAGGAGUCCUGUCUUAACUGAGCAAUAUACACUAUGGAGAGAUCCUUCAAAACCCGUCGGGACGAAUAACAGAUGAAUUCAUAAAACUGUUCAUCUCUGUUAUCCUGAAUGGUCACUCAGACAACAUUUUACUCAACUAUAAAGGGAGAAGCAUAUUGUGUGAUGUUCUAUAUUUAUGAGACCCAUAGCAAACUGUGAAGAGAUAACAGAAUGCUUUUUGCGUGAGCUGAAACAGUAGAUGAAAUCUUUCAUUAAAAUUACUCAUACUUUGGGUCCUAUUCUUAUUUAUAAAUAAAUAUUAUUGCAAACAUUU
ensembl:processed_transcript